rnacentral:lncRNA from 1 species
GAAGAUGAAGCUCAGCCAACAAUUUUCAGCAAUAAUCAGCAGAGAAAAUCAGCAAACUCCAAAUACCGUAAUUGGAAAAAAAAAAUGGCAACAAAAGCAAAAGGAAGAACAUCACAAAACAGUCAAACCAGCUUUAAUUUUUUUUUUUUUUUGUUUUACGGAUUUCGUCUCUGUUUUGAGAGUUUAGGAUCGAAAGAGAAGAAUGAAGAAGGGUCGCUACUCAGUCAAAGGCUACUCAGUCAAAGAAGUGAGGGGUUUUGUUUUGAUAGUGAGAUGAGGAGCUCUCAUUUUCUUUUGCUCGUGCCGCAAGCGCAGCUAUCUUCUGAACAAGGAGGGUCUUCCCUCUUUUGUUAUAUGGUCUAGGUCUAAGUUUUUUAAGGGAUUUUUAUAUUUCUAUACUCUAUAAGAAAUAUUUUUACCCUUGAUUUAAUUACAAACACGUAUAUCAAAUUACUAAUUAUAUACGAUACUUAAUUAAGAAUCUAAUUAAUCGACAGAUUUUACUCUCUAAUUAAAAGUAUUCAUAUAUUCCAUGUUUCUCUCUCCCCUUAAUUCCUACAUUUCUUUCUCCUAAUCCCAGCGUCGUUUUCCCCCUCACAUUUCUUUCUCUUCUCCAUUCCUUCUUCUUCUCAAAAAAUACAGAGAUGAGACUCAUUGAGUAUAAUCAAAUUUUUAGCCAAAGAGAUUCAAUAUGAAACACAGUGUUUCGGUUAUUGUAAUUUCUAGUAAUUGUCAGAUAUUAUUUUAAAUUUUGACAACUACGAGAUCAAGAGUAGAUGUAUG